UUGCCAGCCAGUACCUUGGAUUUUAAUGGC
rnacentral:piRNA from 1 species